rnacentral:rRNA from 1 species
UAACGAAUAUUCCGCAAUGGGCGCAAGCCUGACGGAGCGACGCCGCGUGGAGGACGAAUUCCUUCGGGAUGUAAACUCCCUUUGGGGUGAAGAAAACAAUGAGCGCUAAUAUCGCUCUGCGUUGAUCGAUCCCAGAAUAAGCCUGGGCUAACUCCGUGCCAGCAGCCGCGGUAAGACGGAGCAGGCAAGCGUUGUUCGGAAUCACUGGGCUUAAAGCGCGUGUAGGCGGCCUCGCAAGUACUUUGUGAAAGCCCUCGUCUCAAACGAGGAACUGCUUGGUAUACUGCGGGGCUUGAGGCGGGUAGGGGUGCUUGGAACUCUAGGUGGAGCGGUGAAAUGCGUAGAGAUCUAGGGGAACGCCUGUGGCGAAAGCGGAGCACUGGGCCUUGCCUGACGCUGAGACGCGAAAGCGUGGGUAGCAAACG